CAGUCGCCACGGUAAUACGUAGGGUGCGAGCGUUAAUCGGAAUUACUGGGCGUAAAGCGUGCGCAGGCGGUUCGUUAAGACAGAUGUGAAAUCCCCGGGCUUAACCUGGGAACUGCAUUUGUGACUGGCGAGCUAGAGUAUGGCAGAGGGGGGUAGAAUUCCACGUGUAGCAGUGAAAUGCGUAGAGAUGUGGAGGAAUACCGAUGGCGAAGGCAGCCCCCUGGGCCAAUACUGACGCUCAUGCACGAAAGCGUGGGGAGCAAACAGGAUUAGAUACCCCAGUAGUCCCUGUCUCUUAUAC
rnacentral:rRNA from 1 species